rnacentral:pre_miRNA from 1 species
AGGCCGUGAAUUCUACAGCUUUAGCCGUCGUUCGAGUAAUAAAACGGGUGGUGAUACAGUUGGGAGGAUGGAGCGGUUU